CUUCACCGAGCCCAGCCACAGCGGCCGGUCACGGUCCUGGCCGUAUGUGGCGAGGAUGGCCUGCGCCUC
rnacentral:antisense_RNA from 1 species